CUAAGGACGAUUUUAGGGUUAGGUUUAGCUUUGUCUAUUUAUGCGAAAUUUGGGGUUAAAUAGUUUUUGGGGCAGUUAUCAGGAUUGUAUAUUCAGUCAUUUGGGAUGCAGUAAUAGUUAGUAGCACUGACACAAUUUGUGCCAGCAGUCGCGGUUAUACAGAUAGUGUGACUUAACCUGGUCGGUUUGGAGUUAGCUAGAUUAAUUAUUAUAUUUGGAACGAUGAUAUUUUAAGGUGAAAUUUCAAUUUUAUUGUGAUAUUAAAACUGAUUGAGCGAGGCUUGGGAAUUUUUACUUUAGACUAGGAUUAGAUACCCUAUUAUUAAAAGCGUUAAAUUUUAAAAGCUUGAUUAGUAUAAGUUAAGGUCUUGAAAAUCAAAUAUUUUGGCGGUAUAUUAAUCCCCUCAGAGGAACCUGCCCUGUAAUCGAUAGUCCACGAUUUGUUUAACUUUAUUAUGUGCUUGUAUAUCGUCGUUGCUUGAAUAUUUUUUAAAAAUCUAAUGUUCUAGAAUUUUUACGGGAAAGAAAAUCAGAUCAAGGUGCAGUAUCUUAAAGGUGUGGUGGGUUACGAUAUAUUUAUAUUGGGAUCCGACGAUUUUAAAUUUCGGUGAAUUUGGAUUUGGUAGUAAUUUUAUCUAGUUAGUUAAAAUGAAUGGGGCUCUAAAAUAUGCACAUAUCGCCCGUCGCUUUCGUUGGUUUAAUGAAAUAAGUCGUAACAAAGCAGGUUUACUGGAAAGUGGUCCUGGAAUGUC
rnacentral:ncRNA from 1 species